AUACUUACAGGGCACAGGAGCUACUGUGAUCACGAAGGCAGUUCUCUCGGAGCGAGGCCCCUCUGCACACUAGGGGCUGAACUCUGCGCGUUCCCGAAUAACACGGGUUCGCGGUGUGCAAUUUUUGAUAGUCGGGUGGACUUGCGUGCGCGCUCGUCUGCC
rfam:Nematostella vectensis strain CH2 x CH6 NEMVEscaffold_19_Cont3496, whole genome shotgun sequence.